UAGGUUGAAGCUUAAUUGGUUGAGCUACUGGCCGUUAACCAGGAGGUAAUAGGAUCAAAACCUGUCAACCUAG
rnacentral:tRNA from 1 species